rnacentral:rRNA from 1 species
GGUGGUGUAAGAUGGACCCGCGUCUGAUUAGCUGGUUGGCGGGGUAACGGCCCACCAAGGCGACGAUCAGUAGCCGGCCUGAGAGGGUGGACGGCCACAUUGGGACUGAGACACGGCCCAAACCCCUACGGGAGGCAGCAGUGGGGAAUAUUGGACAAUGGGGGGAACCCUGAUCCAGCGACGCCGCGUGAGUGAAGAAGUAUUUCG